AACGCUGGCGGCGUGCCUAAUACAUGCAAGUCGAACGGCUUUCUAUGGAAGCUUGCUUCCACUGAGAAGAUAGUGGCGAACGGGUGAGUAACACGUGGGUAACCUGCCCAUAAGAGGGGGAUAACAUCCGGAAACGGGUGCUAAUACCGCAUAGUUUCUUGAUUGCAUGAUUGAGAAAGGAAAGACGGCCUUUGUGCUGUCGCUUAUGGAUGGACCCGCGGCGUAUUAGUUAGUUGAUGAGGUAACGGCUCACCAAGACGAUGAUACGUAGCCGACCUGAGAGGGUGAUCGGCCACAUUGGGACUGAGACACGGCCCAAACUCCUACGGGAGGCAGCAGUAGGGAAUCUUCCGCAAUGGACGAAAGUCUGACGGAGCAACGCCGCGUGAAGUGAAGAAGGCCGGAAGGUUGUAAAAUCCUUUUGAAACUGAAGAAUAAGCGUUGUAGGGAAUGACAGCGUGGUGACAGUAGGUUUUGAAUAAGCAACGGCUAAUUACGUGCCAGCAGCCGC
rnacentral:rRNA from 1 species